rnacentral:rRNA from 1 species
AACGAACGCUGGCGGCAUGCCUAACACAUGCAAGUCGAACGAGACCUUCGGGUCUAGUGGCGCACGGGUGCGUAACGCGUGGGAACCUGCCCUUAGGUUCGGAAUAACUCCCCAAAAGGUGUGCUAAUACCGGUUAAUGUCUUCGGACCAAAGAUUUAUCGCGUUUGGAUGGGCCCGCGUUGGAUUCGCUAGUUGGUAGGGUAAAAGCAUACCAAGGCGACGAUCCAUAGCUGGUCGGAGAGGAUGAUCAGCCACACUGGGACUGAGACACGGCCCAGACUCCUACGGGAGGCAGCAGAGGGGAAUAUUGGACAAUGGGCGAUAGCCUGAUAAAGCAAUGCCGCGUGAGUGAUGAAGGCCUUAGGGUUGUAAAGCUCUUUUAGCCGGGAUGAUAAUGACAGUACCGGGAGAAUAAGCUCCGGCUAACUCCGUG